AUUUUCAACAUUUAGUUCUUUUACAAACUUUGAUUUCGAUACAAAACAAACAUAUUAAAUGUAUCCAAGAGUCAAAGUGAGGGUCACAGAGCAAGAACAAGAAGACUAUGUUAAUUUAUCCUGAAAAUGAUAGUGGACUAUUUAUUGGCUUUCUUGAAGCUCAUUGAGUCCCUACACUUUGAAGAAGAGGAAAAUCAGAGUAAAAGUCGACUAUCAAUUUCCACAAACACAAAGGCUUGUCCUUAACAUAUAAUAACAAGGAGAUUCACUCCUUCAACUAAAGGAAUAGUGAAGAAUAGCAAACGAGUUGGUGAGGGUCCAAAAGAAAAUACAAGAGCUAGUCCUCCUGUCAUACGCCCACGCGCAGUUUUAUCUAGUCCUGGCUUGCAGCGUUUCAAGACUUUGUUUCAUUUCAAAUAAAGAAGGGCGCGUGGCAGAAGACUAUUAGUUUAACGUUAAGUAGCAGUUGGUUAGUUUUUUCUAUAAAUAGUACUACUUCGUCCCAAAAUAUAAGCAAAAGGAGGUCAACAAAAGUGAAUG